rnacentral:misc_RNA from 1 species
GAUGAAGAACGCAGCGAAAUGCGAUAAGUAAUGUGAAUUGCAGAAUUCAGUGAAUCAUCGAAUCCUUGAACGCACAUUGCGCCCGCCAGUAUUCUGGCGGGCAUGCCUGUUCGAGCGUCAUUUCAACCCUCAAGCCCUGCUUGGUGUUGGGGAUCGGCGUUGCCUCCUCCGUCGUUCGCGGCGGGGUGAGGUCGCCGCCCCCGAAAUGAAUUGGCGGUCUCGUCGCAGCUUUCCUUUGCGUAGUAACAUACCACCUCGCAACCAGGAGCGCGGCGCGGCCACUGCCGUAAAACGCCCAACUUUUUCAAGAGUUGACCUCGAAUCAGGUAGGAAUACCCGCUGAACUUAAGCAUAUCAAUAAGCGGAGGA